GUUGGUAUGAGAGGAAGCCUGGUGAUGUGAUACUGGUUAAUCAUUGAAGGUAGAGGUUGGUAUGAGAGGAAGCCUGGUGAUAUGAUACGGCUGGUUAAUCAGUGAAGGUAGAGGUUGGUAUGAGAGGAAGCCUGGUGAUGUGAUACUGGUUAAUCAGUAAAGGUAGAGGUUGGUAUGAGAGGAAGCCUGGUGAUGUGAUACUGGUUAAUCAGUAAAGGUAGAGGUUGGUAUGAGAGGAAGCCUGGUGAUGUGAUACUGGUUAAUCAGUGAAGGUAGAGGUUGGUAUGAGAGGAAGCCUGGUGAUAUGAUACGGCUGGUUAAUCAGUGAAGGUAGAGGUUGGUAUGAGAGGAAACCUGAUGUAGCUGGGAAGAUACGGUCCCACUGCUCUCUCCCACUUACUGCCCUUUAUGACAAACAUACACACAUCGUCUGGCUUGUACACACACACACAAACACACACACACACACAC
rnacentral:lncRNA from 1 species